rnacentral:rRNA from 1 species
UACGGGGGGAGCAAGCGUUGUUCGGAUUUACUGGGCGUAAAGGGCGCGUAGGCGGUCAGCACAAGUCAGUUGUGAAAUCUCCGAGCUUAACUCGGAAAGGUCAACUGAUACUGUGCGACUAGAGUGCGGAAGGGGCAACUGGAAUUCUCGGUGUAGCGGUGAAAUGCGUAGAUAUCGAGAGGAACACCUGCGGCGAAGGCGGGUUGCUGGGCUGACACUGACGCUGAUGCGCGAAAGCCAGGGGAGCGAACGGG